UCGACUGGAUGAUCCGGUGAAUGACUCGGACUGACGAAAGGGUGGAAACAUCUAUUUGUUGGAAAGUUUUGUAAACCUAAUCAUCUGAAGAAUGAAAAAGUCGUAACACGGUAUCCGUAGGAGAACCUGCGGAUGGAUCAUUA
rnacentral:rRNA from 1 species